UAAUAUUCUGAUAGGUGGAGGAAAACAAAUCAAAAAUAGCCGGUAUUGCAUAUUUCCGGAAACUUUUAUAGCGGUACAGAGUAUUAAAUAUUGAAAUUUUCAACACUACACGGUAGUUCAACUCAUCUUGCUUGUGAGAUAAAUGAUCAGGAAUGAACUUUAUCUCUUGUGAGUUCAGUAAACCAAUAGUAUGAGAAUCGCCAUUGCCGGCCACGACCAUCUUCACCGAUACUUAGGGUAAGGUAGGAAAUGUUGAUGUAAUACCUACUUAAGGAAGGCCACCGACUCAGCGACGCUUCCAUAGCACUACUGUCCAUAUCUAUUAGAUUUUAAUGUUCCAGCCUUUGCUCACAAAUGUCAAAAUAACUCAAGCACAUAAAAGAUGAACACUUGGAGCAAAAGUUGUUUAAGUAGAAGUCCUACGCUUCAAACUGAUACGUUUUAGUAUUUAUGUUGGUAUAGAAUGUCGCGAACUGGAGAACCUGGGCGAGACGUUUCAUGAAUGAACCGUACGCACCGGGCUCUCAAUAUAUUCAAAUUGAGGAUCACGACGUUUACAGGUUUAUUUAUAUUGAAAUAAGUUAGCUAAAAAUAAUUUAAAUUUAAUAUAGCGCAUA